rnacentral:rRNA from 1 species
UACGAGGGGGGGCAAGCGUUGUUCGGAAUCACUGGGCGUAAAGGGUGCGUAGGCGGGUCUUUAAGUCAGGGGGUGAAAUCCUGGAGCUCAACUCCAGAACUGCCUUUGAUACUGAGGAUCUUGAGUUCGGGAGAGGUGAGUGGAACUGCGAGUGUAGAGGUGAAAUUCGUAGAUAUUCGCAAGAACACCAGUGGCGAAGGCGGCUCACUGGCCCGAUACUGACGCUGAGGCACGAAAGCGUGGGGAGCAAACAGG